UGGCGGCGUGCUAAUAAUGCAGUCGAACGAGGAGCCUUAGUUCUUGUAUUCGUACUCGAACUUCGGAUUUCCUAGUGGCGAACGGGUGAGUAACGCGUUGGUGACCUGCCUCGAAGUGCGGAAUAACUCCGGGAAACUGGAGCUAAUACCUCAUGUGGACAGUGGAUUUAGAAACCACUGUCUAAAGGUCUUCGGAUCGCUUCGAGAGGGGCCUGCGUCCCAUCAGCUAGUUGGUAGGGUAAUGGCCUACCAAGGCGACGACGGGUAGGGGACCUGAGAGGGUGAUCCCCCACAAUGGAACUGAAACACGGUCCAUACAUCUACGGAUGGCAGCAGUAGGGAAUAUUGCGCAAUGGGCGAAAGUCUGAUGCAGCAACGCCGCGUGUGCGAUGAAGGCCUUCGGGUUGUAAAGCACUUUUCUGAGGGAAGAGGAAGGACGGUACCUCAGGAAUAAGUCUCGGCUAACUACGUGCCAGCAGCCGCGGUAACACGUAGGAGGCAAGCGUUAUCCGGAUUUACUGGGCGUAAAGCGCGUGCAGGCGGUUUGGUAAGUUGGAUGUGAAAGCUCCUGGCUUAACUGGGAGAGGUCGUUCAAUACUGCCAAACUAGAGGACGGUANAGGAAGGUAGAAUUCCUGGUGUAGUGGUGAAACGCGUAGAUAUCAGGAGGAAUACCAGUGGCGAAGGCGGCCUUCUGGGCCGUUCCUGACGCUAAGGCGCGAAAGCAUAGGUAGCGAACGGGAUUAGAAACCCCGGUAGUCCAUGCCGUAAACGAUGCAAACUAGGUGUUGGUGGUGUAAAAGCCAUCAGUGCCGCAGCUAACGCGAUAAGUUUGCCGCCUGGGGAUUACGGCCGCAAGGUUAAACUCAAAGGAAUUGACGGGUUCCGCACAAUCAUCGGAUCGUGUGGUUUAAUUCGAUGCUACCCUAAAACCUUACCUGGGCUUGAAUAUAGGUGGUAGGAAUCGAAAAAGACGACCCUCGGGGAGCUAUAAGGUGCUGAUGGCUGUCGUCAACUCUGUCUGAAAGUC
rnacentral:rRNA from 1 species